rnacentral:tRNA from 2 species
ACUGGGGUGGCAGAGCAUGGUUAAUUGCGUAAGGCCUAAGCCCUUAAAAUCAGAGGUUCAAAUCCUCUUCCCAGUU